rnacentral:rRNA from 1 species
UGAGGAAUAUUGGUCAAUGGGCGCAAGCCUGAACCAGCCAUCCCGCGUGCAGGAAGAAGGCCCUAUGGGUUGUAAACUGCUUUUGUGCAUGAAGAACACCCCGCUCGAGAGCGGGGCUGACGGUAAUGCGUGAAUAAGCACCGGCUAACUCCGUGCCAGCAGCCGCGGUAAUACGGAGGGCGCAAGCGUUAUCCGGAUUUAUUGGGUUUAAAGGGUGCGUAGGCGGCCUUUUAAGUCAGUGGUGAAAACCUGCGGCUCAACCGUAGGCGUGCCAUUGAAACUGAAGGGCUUGAGUCACCAUGAGGCAGGCGGAAUGUGUAGUGUAGCGGUGAAAUGCUUAGAUAUUACACAGAACACCGAUUGCGUAGGCAGCUUGCUAAAGGUACACUGACGCUGAUGCACGAAAGCGUGGGGAUCGAACA